rnacentral:tRNA from 1 species
ACCUGGGUGGCUCAGUCAGUUAAGCGUCUGACUUCAGCUCAGGUCAUGAUCUCACAGUUUGUGGGUUCAAGCCCCACAUUGGGUU